GACACCUCUUCGACUUUUCCACGAACCUUUCUCUCUCUCUCUCUCGUCUUCUUCUUCUUCCUCCUCUUCUUUUCUCUCUCUCUCUCUCUCAUCUCUCUCUCAAUCGAACUCUGCCUACAAGACAAAAUCUUCGAAGUGACGACCAUGAUUACUAUGGUCUCUCUUACAACUUCGACAAACCCUUUUUCAUCUUCGACAUGUCGAACCUACGCGAAGUCUCCGUCGAGAUCGCCGUGAACUCUCCGUCGAGAUCGCCGUGAAAUCUGCUUGGAUCUUCGCUGGAUCCACUCUUGAUUUGAGGAUCAAUUUUUGAGUCUCUUUCAUAGUAAUUUGAAGAGAGUGAGGAAGAUUCAGAACAACAAACAUAAGCAAUGGGAUUUCUGAUUCUAGUCCCCCAAAUCAAUCAAUUAUGGCUUCCUUGUCACAAUGAGGAACUAGUGAGUUGCUUAUAAAGGGAUGGCUUCAAGUCAAUACAUGAAGAAAUUGGUAUAGAUCAUAGAUGGUAAACUCAAAGAGCAAUAUGCAGAGGACCGGCUUCCUUUUCUGAUUUAGUUGUUUCUUGGGGUUAAUGACCACAUGGUCAGAGUUUAGUGGAUGUGCUUAAAUGGUCUACAGUUAGAAAUUAUGAGAAUGAACAAGAUAUUAUGAGAUGAGUAUCCAUAACUACUCAUCCACAUGAUUGGUAUCCAAUGUUAAAUCAAUGUUGUUUCUUUUGGUUUAUGAACCAUUUUGUGUGUAUAUGUUUGGAUAGAGCUUUGUGGACACAUUACCUUUAGCUUUAAAUCAAUGUUAAAUAUCUAUGUUUGUGUUGUUUA